CCUACGGGAGGCAGCAGUGGGGAAUUUUGCGCAAUGGGGGAAACCCUGACGCAGCAACGCCGCGUGGAUGACGAAGGCCUUCGGGUCGUAAAGUCCUGUUCUGGGGGAAGAACAAGUAGAGAACUAAUAUUUCUCUACUCUGACGGUACCCCAGCAGAAAGCUCCGGCCAAUUAUGUGCCAGCAGCCGCGGUAAU
rnacentral:rRNA from 1 species